CUGUGACUGUGUACCAACCUUACAAAAUGUUCUGGUUUCAGCCUGAAUUUACCAAAAGAAUUUGAUGCCUAAUCCCAAGCAUUUAAGUAUUUGUUUAAAAAAAAUUCCUCAUCAAACUUGAUUUCUUUUAAAAUGUGUUUCCAAAGAUAAAUCGUAUUUUUAAAGAAAAAUCAAAUCUCCCGCGUCUUCUGUAAGAAGCUAAGAGUAAAAAAAAAUAAUGCUUUAGUAAUAUUCCGUGUGUACGUUUUCAACUCAUACUGUUCGAACAUAUAGAAUUUACAUGCACAUGUCAUUGCACUGGUUCACUUUUCUGAGUUGUUCUGAUAUGUUGUGAGAAUCGCCCCUAAUCCUUUUAUCCUGCUUCAGACCUGCUCCGUCAUACCUUUUCUUUUGCAUUGACAAUAUUUUGAAUCAGGCUAACAUAGUUUGUCAAUAUUUUAAAAAAUAAAGCGGAUGUGUCAUUAAGCAUCUUUUACAUUUCUGCUGUCAUGAUUGUUACUCAUAGGGAAGGUUUAUGUACUUCAGUAUAUAAAUCUUUCUAAGAAAAAUAGGAUUUAUUGAUUAUGGUUAACAUACAAUAUGUGAACAUUGAAUAUAAACUUACAACUAUAAUUCAAUAAAAAAAUGUCAAAACUUAA